GCCCUUGUAGUAUAGCUUGGAUAGUACACGAGCUUGCGGAGCUUGUAACCUGGGUUCGAAUCCCAGCGAGGGCG
rnacentral:tRNA from 1 species